UAUAAAUCAUGCUGCUAUAAAGACACAUGCACAAAUAUAAGAGGCCGCCCUGUAGAGGAGGAAGGAGGAAGUUGGCUGUGAUUGACCUUGCUAGGUCAUCUUCCUAAUCUUUGUCCUUUCCUGCACCCCAAAUGGAAGAUAAAAGGCAAUGCAAGAUCAGCAUCCUCAGAGACAUCGUUUUGUUUGGGUUUCAUGGAUUGCAAUUGCCAGAGAUGCUUAGGCUGCCUCUAGAGGGAAGAUGAUUGAUUGUUAACCUAUGUGGUCCAACCAAAUGUCUUAGGGGUUAUUGAUAAUUAAAAUGGACAAUAGCGAUUUUCCAUUUCUUCUGGCCUUGGGUGCUGGCAUGUGGAAGUGGUAUUGAUACUCAUGACCAAAUAGGCACUUAUCGAUUUCAGUUUUCAUAAGUUGCCUACCAAAUGCAAACUAGUAACCCAGACGUGGGAGACCUAAUAUUCCAUUGUUAAUCUUUAGGUCCAUAAUUUUUAUUUCCUCUACUUGCCUCUUCUUCCUUCCUCUGCAUAAUGAGUUGGGCUUAUAUAAUUGCACCCAUUUACUCACUCAUUCGUUCAAUCAAUUAUUUGUUCCUAUUUUAUGCCAAGUAAUGAACAGAAGGUGUUGGGGAUGCAAAACCCAACUAAUUGGAAUUUCUAUGUUACAGGAGCUUAUGCUUUAGUGAAAUUAUAGACAAAUUAUUAUACAGUUUUAAUCCAGAAUAGUAAGUGCUAUGGGAGCAUGCACAGAGGAAACAACCCAAUCUUAAGGAAUCAGGAAGGUUUGCAGAGGACUGACAGGAAAAGUGGGCAGGUGAAGAAGAUGGGCAGUGAGAGGAGGAGUGGAAGCACUUUUGCUAGGGAAAAACAUGAAUAAAAGGGAUAAUUUUCUGCUCUUACCCCUGGGUGAUCUUUGCGUGGUACUGUCCAUCACAGUUGGGAGAGACGGCUCCUCAGAGCUGCUCCACACUGUUCACAGAGGAUGCCAUUCCAAGGAAACUGGGGAAUAGGGAAAGUCUUUAGCUUAUUCCUCUUUGAGGUUUGUUUGAGAUGCAGUUUCUUCAAUAUUUUGAGUCUAUGAAAACAUGUUGUAUACUUAAAUAUAUACCACAAAAAAUAAAAAAAAUUGCGAUUUAAA
rnacentral:lncRNA from 1 species